UACAGAGGUCUCAAGCGUUGUUCGGAUUCAUUGGGCGUACAGGGUGCGUAGGCGGCGCGGUAAGUCGGGUGUGAAAUCUCGGGGCUUAACUCCGAAACUGCAUUCGAUACUGCCGUGCUUGAGGACUGGAGAGGAGACUGGAAUUUACGGUGUAGCGGUGAAAUGCGUAGAUAUCGUAAGGAAGACCAUUGGCGAAGGCGGGUCUCUGGACAGUUCCUGACGCUGAGGCACGAAGGCCAGGGAGCAAACGGG
rnacentral:rRNA from 1 species